rnacentral:rRNA from 1 species
AAAACUUUCAACAACGGAUCUCUUGGUUCCGGCAUCGAUGAAGAACGCAGCGAACUGCGAUAAGUAGUGUGAAUUGCAGAAUUCAGUGAAUCAUCGAGUCUUUGAACGCACAUUGCGCCCCUUGGUAUUCCGAGGGGCAUGCCUGUCCGAGCGUCAU